ensembl:rRNA 5S_rRNA 5S ribosomal RNA
AUCUGUAGCCACAUCACCCUGAACACAACAGAUCUCAUCUAAUCUCAGAUGCUGAGUAGAACAGUGCCCGGUUAGCACUCGACUCAGACAAGUGGAGAUGGUCAAGGAAGGCAGACU